AUGCGAUACUUGGUGUGAAUUGCAGAAUCUCGUGAACCAUUGAGUCUUUGAACGCAAGUUGUGCCCGAGGCCUUGUGGUCGAGGGCACGCCUGCUUGGGUGUCAUGA
rnacentral:rRNA from 2 species